rnacentral:piRNA from 1 species
GCCACUGGCGUGCAGAAACUGAAGUUGGCCU